GCUGGGCGCGGUGGCUCACGCCUGUAAUCCCAGCAUUUUAGGAGGCUGAGGUGGGCGGAUCACCUGAGGUCAGGAGUUCCAGACCAGCCUGACCGACAUGGAGAAACCCCAUCUCUA
rnacentral:SRP_RNA from 2 species